CCUACGGGGAGCAGCAGUGGGGAAUAUUGGACAAUGGGCGAAAGCCUGAUCCAGCCAUGCCGCGUGUGUGAAGAAGGCCUUCGGGUUGUAAAGCACUUUCAGUGGGGAAGAAAGCCUUGGGGCUAAUACCCUCGAGGAAGGACAUCACCCACAGAAGAAGCACCGGCUAACUCCGUGCCAGCAGCCGCGGUAAUACGGAGGGUGCGAGCGUUAAUCGGAAUUACUGGGCGUAAAGCGCGCGUAGGCGGUCUGAUAAGCCGGUUGUGAAAGCCCCGGGCUCAACCUGGGAACGGCAUCCGGAACUGUCAGGCUAGAGUGCAGGAGAGGAAGGUAGAAUUCCCGGUGUAGCGGUGAAAUGCGUAGAGAUUGGGAGGAAUACCAGUGGCGAAGGCGGCCUUCUGGACUGACACUGACGCUGAGGUGCGAAAGCGUGGGUAGCAAACAGGAUUAGAUACCCGGGUAGUC
rnacentral:rRNA from 1 species